ACCGAAUUGGUGUAGGGGUUAACAUUCAAGAUUCUCAUCCUUUCUUUCGUCCGCGAAAAAUGGAGAGUGCUCUUGAGCCAGGAGUUCGAAUCUCCUAUUCGGUG